UACGAAGGGGGCUAGCGUUGCUCGGAAUCACUGGGCGUAAAGCGCACGUAGGCGGCUUUUUAAGUCAGGGGUGAAAUCCUGGAGCUCAACUCCGGAACUGCCUUUGAUACUGGCGAUCUAGAGAUCGAGAGAGGUGAGUGGAAUUCCGAGUGUAGAGGUGAAAUUCGUAGAUAUUCGCAAGAACACCAGUGGCGAAGGCGGCUCACUGGCCCGGUACUGACGCUGAGGUGCGAAAGCGUGGGGAGCAAACAGG
rnacentral:rRNA from 1 species